AUUGGAAGGGGUGUAUUUAUUAGAUAAAAAACCAAUGCCCUUCGGGGCUCCUUGGUGAUUCAUAAUAACUUAUCGAAUCGCAUGGCCUUGCGCUGGCGAUGGUUCAUUCAAAUUUCUGCCCUAUCAACUUUCGAUGGUAGGAUAGUGGCCUACCAUGGUGGCAACGGGUAACGGGGAAUUAGGGUUCGAUUCCGGAGAGGGAGCCUGAGAAACGGCUACCACAUCUAAGGAAGGCAGCAGGCGCGCAAAUUACCCAAUCCCGAUACGGGGAGGUGAGUCCAAACAUUUUUAAUUUUUAUCCAUAUACCUGAAGCAUCUACUAACAGCUGAAACAGGUAGUGACAAUAAAUACUGAUACAGGGCUCUUUUGGGUCUUGUAAUUGGAAUGAGUACAACCUAAUCCUAACGAAAGAAUU
rnacentral:rRNA from 1 species